rnacentral:rRNA from 1 species
UACGUAGGGUGCGAGCGUUUAAUCGGAAUUACUGGGCGUAAAGCGUACGUAGGCGGCUUUGUAAGUUAGAGGUGAAAGCCCGGGGCUCAACUCCGGAAUUGCCUUUAAGACUGCAUCGCUUGAAUCAUGGAGAGGUGAGUGGAAUUCCGAGUGUAGAGGUGAAAUUCGUAGAUAUUCGGAAGAACACCAGUGGCGAAGGCGACUCACUGGACAUGUAUUGACGCUGAGGUACGAAAAGCGUGGGGAGCAAACAGGG